CGGGGUGCAGCAGGCGCGGAAACUUUACAAUGCUGGCAACAGCGAUAAGGGGACCUCGAGUGCCAGGAUACAAUCUUGGCUGUCGCGAUGCCUAAAAAGCAUUGCAUAGCAAGGGCCGGGCAAGACCGGUGCCAGCCGCCGCGGUAACACCGGCGGCUCGAGUGGUAACCGCUAUUAUUGGGUCUAAAGGGUCUGUAGCCGGCCGGAUAAGUCUUUUGGGAAAUCCAGCUGCUCAACAGUUGGGCUUUCAGAAGAUACUGUUCGGCUCGAGACCGGGAGAGGUGAGAGGUACUUCAGGGGUAGGGGUGAAAUCUUGUAAUCCUUGAAGGACCACCAGUGGCGAAGGCGUCUCACCAGAACGGAUCUGACGGCAAGGGACGAAAGCUAGGGGCACGAACCGGAUUAGAUACCCGGGUAGUCCUAGCCGUAAACGAUACUCGCUAGGUGUCAGCCACGGUGCGACCGUGGUUGGUGCCGUAGGGAAGCCGUGAAGCGAGCCACCUGGGAAGUACGGCCGCAAGGCUGAAACUUAAAGGAAUUGGCGGGGGAGCACAA
rnacentral:rRNA from 1 species